rnacentral:snoRNA from 1 species
AUCUCAUGAUGAGGACACUUACAAAGUAAUUCCUUGAAUCUUUCCUGGGCCUUAUAUAAAGACUCAUCAUCCAAUUAUUGAAAAGUGGUUAUCUCAUUUAGCAACUU